rnacentral:rRNA from 1 species
GUAGGGGGCAAGCGUUGUCCGGGAAUUAUUGGGGCGUAAAGCGCGCGCAGGCGGUCUCUUAAGUCUGAUGUGAAAGCCCACGGGCUCAACCGUGGAGGGUCAUUGGAAACUGGGAGACUUGAGUGUAGGAGAGGAAAGUGGAAUUCCACGUGUAGCGGUGAAAUGCGUAGAUAUGUGGAGGAACACCAGUGGCGAAGGCGACUUUCUGGCCUACAACUGACGCUGAGGCGCGAAAGCGUGGGGAGCAAACAGGAUUAGAUACCCUGGUAGUCCACGCUGUAAACGAUGAGUGCUAGGUGUUAGGGGUUUCGAUGCCCUUAGUGCCGAAGUUAACACAUUAAGCACUCCGCCUGGGGAGUACGGCCGCAAAGGCUG